CCUACGGGUGGCAGCAGUGGGGAAUAUUGGAUAAUGGGCGAAAGCCUGAUCCAGCCAUGCCGCGUGUGUGAAGAAGGCCUUCGGGUUGUAAAGCACUUUCAGUGGGGAAGAAAGCCUUGGGGCUAAUACCCUCGAGGAAGGACAUCACCCACAGAAGAAGCACCGGCUAACUCCGUGCCAGCAGCCGCGGUAAUACGGAGGGUGCGAGCGUUAAUCGGAAUUACUGGGCGUAAAGCGCGCGUAGGCGGUCUGAUAAGCCGGUUGUGAAAGCCCCGGGCUCAACCUGGGAACGGCAUCCGGAACUGUCAGGCUAGAGUGCAGGAGAGGAAGGUAGAAUUCCCGGUGUAGCGGUGAAAUGCGUAGAGAUCGGGAGGAAUACCAGUGGCGAAGGCGGCCUUCUGGACUGACACUGACGCUGAGGUGCGAAAGCGUGGGUAGCAAACAGGAUUAGAUACCCCAGUAGUC
rnacentral:rRNA from 1 species